AAGGAAUUGACGGGGGCCCGCACAAGCGGCGGAGCAUGCGGAUUAAUUCGAUGCAACGCGAAGAACCUUACCAAGGCUUGACAUACACCGGAAACGGCCAGAGAUGGUCGCCCCCUUGUGGUCGGUGUACAGGUGGUGCAUGGUUGUCGUCAGCUCGUGUCGUGAGAUGUUGGGUUAAGUCCCGCAACGAGCGCAACCCUCGUUUUAUGUUGCCAGCGGGUUAUGCCGGGGACUCAUAGGAGACUGCCGGGGUCAACUCGGAGGAAGGUGGGGAUGACGUCAAAUCAUCAUGCCCCUUAUGUCUUGGGCUUCACGCAUGCUACAAUGGCCGGUACAAAGGGCUGCGAUACCGUAAGGUGGAGCGAAUCCCAA
rnacentral:rRNA from 1 species